rnacentral:sRNA from 1 species
CUGCUCAUCCACUCUACACCUGUGCACUUACUGUAGGUUGGCGUGGGUUUCUGGCCUCCGGGUCAGAAGCAUUCUGCCGACCUAUGUACACUACAAACUCUUAAAGUAUCAGAAUGUAAACGCGUCUAACGCAUCUUAAUACAACUUUCAGCAACGGAUCUCUUGGCUCUCGCAUCGAUGAAGAACGCAGCGAAAUGCGAUAAGUAAUGUGAAUUGCAGAAUUCAGUGAAUCAUCGAAUCUUUGAACGCACCUUGCGCUCCUUGGUAUUCCGAGGAGCAUGCCUGUUUGAGUGUCAUGAAAUUCUCAACCCAUAAAUCCUUGUGAUCUAUGGGCUUGGAUUUGGAGGCUUGCUGGCCGUAACGGUCGGCUCCUCUUGAAUGCAUUAGCUUGAUUCCGUGCGGAUCGGCUCUCAGUGUGAUAAUUGUCUACGCUGUGACCGUGAAGCGUUUUGGCGAGCUUCUAACCGUCCCUGCGAGUGAAGCGGGAAAAGCUCAAAUUUAAAAUCUGGCGGUCUUUGGCCGUCCGAGUUGUAGUCUGGAGAAGCGUCUUCCGCGCUGGACCGUGUACAAGUCUCUUGGAACAGAGCGUCAUAGAGGGUGAGAAUCCCGUCUUUGACACGGACUACCAGUGCUUUGUGAUGCGCUCUCAAAGAGUCGCGUUGUUUGGGAAUGCAGCGCAAAAUGGGAGGUGAAUUCCUUCUAAAGCUAAAUAUUGGCGAGAGACCGAUAGCGAACAAGUACCGUGAGGGAAAGAUGAAAAGCACUUUGGAAAGAGAGUUAAACAGUACGUGAAAUUGCUGAAAGGGAAACGCUUGAAGUCAGUCGCGUCGUCCGGAACUCAGCCUUGCUUCGGCUUGGUGCAUUUUCCGGUUGACGGGCCAGCAUCGAUUUUGACCGCUGGAAAAGGGCUGGAGGAAUGUGGCACCUUCGGGUGUGUUAUAGCCUUCAGUCGCAUACAGCGGUUGGGAUCGAGGAACGCAGCGCGCCUUAUGGCUGGGGUUCGCCCACAUUCGCGCUUAGGAUGCUGGCAUAAUGGCUUUAAACGACCCGUCUUGAAACACGGACCAAGGAGUCUAACAUGCCUGCGAGUGUUUGGGUGGAAAACCCGAGCGCGUAAUGAAAGUGAAAGUUGAGACCUCUGUCGUGNAGGGCAUCGACGCCCGGACCUGAAGUUUUCUGACGGAUCCGCGGUAGAGCAUG